AUAAGUAGGUGACAAGCGUUAUCCGGAUUUACUGGGCGUAAAGGGCGUGUAGGCGGUCUUGCAAGUCAGAAGUGAAAUUCCUGAGCUCAACUCGGGCGCUGCUUCUGAAACUGCAGGACUUGAGUGCUGGAGGGGAUAGCGGAAUUCCUAGUGGAGCGGUAAAAUGCGCAGAUAUUAGGAAGAACACCGGGGGCGAAGGCGGUUAUCUGGACAGUAACGGACGCUGAGGCGCGAAAGCGUGGGGAGAAAACAGGAUUAGAUACCCGGGUGUUCCACGCCGUAAACGAUGAAUACUAGGUGUAGGGGGUAUCGACUCCCUCUGUGCCUCAGUUAACACAAUAAGUAUUCCGCCUGGGGAGUACGGCCGCAAGGUGGAAACUCAAAGGAAUUGACGGGG
rnacentral:rRNA from 1 species